UCCUCGUAUCUCCUUCUGAUUCAUUCAUGUCUUAGCGGGUCGUAAAGGAUGCUAAAUAAAUAUGUAUUCUUUUUUCAUUAAUUGUUAAACAAUAAAUUUGAUUAUCAAUUAAUAAAGAAUGCUACAUUA
rnacentral:snoRNA from 16 species